rnacentral:rRNA from 1 species
UACGGUAGGGUGCAAGCGUUGUCCGGAAUUAUUGGGCGUAAAGAGCUCGUAGGCGGUCUGUCGCGUCUGCUGUGAAAACUCGGGGCUUAACCCCGGGCCUGCAGUGGGUACGGGCAGACUAGAGUGCGGUAGGGGAGACUGGAAUUCCUGGUGUAGCGGUGAAAUGCGCAGAUAUCAGGAGGAACACCGGUGGCGAAGGCGGGUCUCUGGGCCGUAACUGACGCUGAGGAGCGAAAGCAUGGGGAGCGAACAGG